rnacentral:lncRNA from 1 species
UUUCAUGAAAGGACUAAGCAUAUAGAAGUAGACUGUCAUUUCAGAAGAGAAAUGAUAAAUCAAAAGAAAAUAUCAUUAAAGCAAUUUGGAACUAAGUUCCAACUUGCUGAUUUUCUCACAAAAAUACUUGGAGAAAGAGAAAUUACAACAUUCCAUUUCAAGCUUGGAAUAUUAAAUAUAUAUUCCAAGGCUUGAGAGGGGAGUAAAGGAAUUACAGUGUUAAUACACUGUUAAUUACAUUGCUUAAGUACUUUAAAGUUAUAAUCAUAUUUUCAGGACUUACUUGCUAUUAUCUGGAUAGUUUUAUUUUACAGAUAAAUAAACCAAGACUGGAGUAAAGCAAUUAAAUGAAACUUGAGGGCAAAUGUACAAAAGUUUAAAUAAAGUCUAAAUGAGCCAAUUCGGAUGGGCCCCGCACUGGGCUGGUGUCAACUAAUUAAUACAACUACAAGAUAUUAGUUAAUUAGAUAUUAUAUUAGUUAAUCUGUUAGUUAACAGAUAAGUUGUGUAAUUAGUUGAUAGUUAGACAAGUGUAAUAUAAAUAAGAUACUUUUGUAACAUUAGAUUAAUUCAAUACAAUUACAUUUGCACUAAUCAUUUCAUUAGUGACUAAGCAUCUGCUAAUUCAGCCAACGGUUAUCUCGACAGUUAAGUCGAGAAACCCUAGUUUCUUCCCCCUUCUGCGCGCGUUUACUGCCUGAACAUUCGCCGACGCUCCAGACGUCGAAACGAUUUCCAGACAUCGACUGGACUGGAAAUUAUCAGUUUCUACUGUAAAAGAAAUUACCAUCUCCUAAGAGGUAGGACUCUCUAUGGAUAUGAUUUUUUGGAUCAUUCCAUUAACACGUUGUAACCGUCGUCACCUUACCGCGAUCUGUUAUGGAGGAGAUGCAAAAAUUGUUACCUGCGGAGGAAGAACAACGAGAAGAAUUAAUACCCACAGAAAUUGAAAAGUUAAUAGACAAGAUAGGAGAAGAAGAAGCUUCUAUAGAUGGAGUGGUCGGAAACAUUCCGACCAGCACACCUACUGAACAAGAAUGCCCUGAACCAAAACCUGACAGCCCUAAAGUUGCAAGGAAGGGAACCAUUCACGCUGACAAGGAAGCCAACGUGAGGAAGGGAGAUAGAAUCCGUAAUCAGUCAACUAGAUUGACUGGUUAUCUUCUAAAUUAGAGGUUUUGGGCUGGGCCAGAACCUCUAUUGGGCUUAAUUAAGUUAGCUUUUAAUUAUUCAGACCUAUAAAUGCUGUAAGACAUUAUUGGUAAAUUUUUUAUGAAAUGUUUGCUUGCUGCUGCAAACACUAGCCACCGACUAAAGGAGGGAGAUCUAUUUCCUCCAAGUUUCCCUACCAUCUGGUUAUCAAUCCAAGGUGGUUACAUUGGUGCUUUCAACGGACUCGCCUCCAAUCUAAAAGAAGGAUACCAAGACGUCGAGAACGAUGGUACUAAAUAUUCAAGCAAACCUUCCAAGGGGUGUCCUAGCCCUUGACUAGGUCCCAAAUAGGGAAGCAAUUGUUCUUAAAAGUUUUAUAUAAUUUUCAUAUUCUUACAUAAGAUCAAAUUCUUAGGAGAUCGGGAAAAAGAAAAAAGAACAAAAAAAUGUUGUUGUUGUUACGUCGGGAACGACGGGAAAAAUAAUUCAAAAAAAAAAAUCAUCUAAGGGCCGUCCUAGUCCUUAACUAGGUCCCCUCGAGGGAAGUAUCAAUCACUUGCCUUCCAAAUUAAAUAUAUACCUGAUAUCACUCUGAUAAUUAUAGGUAUUACAGCAACAAUGGAAGAAAUAGUGCAGCAACUGCAAAAAGAACAACAAGAGCAAGCAUUAUUGCUCAACGCAACGGUUGCUUAGUUUUCAGCAGUGACAAAACAGUUAGAUGCAACUAUGAAAGAAAUUCAAAAUCAAAUGGGUGGAGCUAUCAACCAACAGAACAAUACAAACAGGCAGCCGGUCCACCAAGACCCCAUUCGCCCAUCAGCAAAAGAUAUCCCAAAAUUUCCAGGAAAAAAUGUAGAAGGAUGGUUGCUAAAGAUAACGAAGUUUUUUCGUCAUUAUCAUAUUAAGGACGAAAAGAGGAUGUUUUUGGCCACGCAAAGUAUGGAAAGGGAAGCCCUUGGGUGGCUAGUCUGGAUGGAGGAAGAAGGGAAUCUCGAAUGUUGGAGUGAUUUUGUGCAGGACAUAUCUAGACGUUUUGGACAUAAUCCUUAUGAUGUGCCAACAGGGAGACUAAGUAAAUUAUGCCAAGAAAAUUUAUCGGUGGUUGAAUAUCAAAAGAAGUUUGAAAGCUUAGCAACAAGGGCACAUGGAAUAUCCAAACCAGCCUUCAAAGAAAUGUUUAUCAGCGGGUUAGAUCCAGAUAUGCAGGAAAAAAUAUUGUUAGCAAGGCCCGAAGACAUCAAUGAAGACUUUUCAUUAGCUAAUAUGUGUGAAGAAGUAAGGGCGGGUAAAGGAAAAAAUAACGUGAAGUAUGAAUCUAAGUAUUAUGUGCCUCCACAUAAGAGAGUAGAUAACAUAGUCUCUACCAUGCCUAGCAUCAGAAAACAACUAUCUGAAAAUGAAAAAAAAGAGAGAAGAGAAAAGUCAUUAUGCUUCAAUUGUGAUGAAAAGUGGAUAAAGGGUCAUAGAUGCCAAGGUAAAUUAUUGUUAUUAUCGGCAGAUGGGAGGAGACUGACAGAAAUUACACAUUCUGAUGAUGAUUAUAGUUCGGGGGAAGAAGAUGAACAUAUUUCAGCAGCACAAUCCAGCGAAGCCAAUAUGAUUAGCUUAAAUGCUUUGGAUGGGAUCCUUGGUCCAAAAAUACUAAGACUGUCUGGACUGAUCAAUAAUAUGCAAUUAUCGGUACUAGUUGACUCCGGAUCUACACAUAAUUUUAUCCAAUCAGACGUGGUAGAGAGUUUACAGUUACCAAUAUCCAAAACAGAAAAAUUCUUUGUAACCACAUGCAGUGGUGUAAAAUUAAAGUGUAGCAGGGUUUGCAAAGACAUCAAAAUGCCGAUACAAGGAACAGAGCUGAAAGUGAAUUUAUUUCUAUUACCUGUAACCGGCGCAAACGUAAUCUUGGGAAUUCAGUGGCUGAGUACUUUGGGUAGGGUAAUCACAGAUUACAAAGAAUUGUAUAUGGAAUUCAGUCUGAACAAGGAGAUAAUUAGGUGGAAUGCCACAAGGCUGGAUUGACGAUGAACCCUUGUCUAGUAGAGAAUUAAAAUAAUUAUCAACAAAGCAAGAAGCCGUAUAUGUUUUACACCUACAUUAUGGCGCGAAUUCAGAAGCAACCAUAGAGACAACGGUGAAUAACCUAUCAGAUCCAGUUAAAUCAAUACUAAACAAAUAUAAUGAUAUAUUCUUGGAGCAGAUGGCACUACCACCAUCACGGGUGAAAGAUCACUACAUUCACACUAUAGAAGGAUCUAAACCCGUAUCUGUACGACCUUACAGAUACCCACAGUAUCAGAAGGCAGAAAUGGAAGAUCUAGUGAAAGAGAUGGUUAAACAAGGGAUCGUGAGACCAAGUACCAGCCCAUAUUCUUCUCCAGUUAUUUUAGUGAAGAAGGACGGAGGUUGGCGUCUAUGUGUGGAUUACCGAGCAUUAAACGCAAUUACAGUCAAGGACUGCUUUCCAAUACCAACUAUUGAUGAACUUCUAGGAGAACUGAAUGGAGCAAAGGUGUUUUCUAAAUUGGAUCUAAGAUCCGAGUACCAUCAGAUACGUAUCAACCCACCGGAUGUGCCUAAAACAGCGUUUAGAACACACAGUGGUCAUUUUGAGUUCUUAGUUAUGCCAUUUGGCUUAACUAACGCUCCAUCUACGUUCCAAGCUUUAAUGAAUGAUAUAUUCGAGGAACAACUCAGAAAGUUCGUAAUAGUAUUUUUCGAUGACAUACUAGUAUUUAGCAAGUUAAAAAAAGAACACAAUAUUCAUCUAGAGACAGUUUUUCAAGUACUAAGAAAACAUUUAUUGGCUGCCAAGAUGAGUAAAUGCUCGUUUGAAAAGGAGGAAUUACAGUUCCUAGGACACAUAAUUAGCAAAAACGGAAUUAAUGCAGAUCCAGAAAAAAAUUGAAGCAAUGUUGCGUUGGCAAAUACCAACUACGGUGAAACAACUAAGGAGUUUUCUUGGGCUGACGGGGUAUUAUCAAAGGUUUAUUAAACAAUAUGCACACAUUGCACACCCCAUGACCGAUCUGCUUAAAAAGAAUGAGUUUACAUGGAACAAAGAAGCAACUAAUAGCUUCACAACUCUGAAACGAGCUAUGCUAGCAGUUCCGGUUUUAGGGUAUCCUGAUUUCUCUUGUAUGUUUAUAGUGGAAACAGACGCUUCUCAGACUGGUAUCGGGGCGGUACUAAUGCAAAAAGGACACCCUUUAGCAUUCUACAGCAGUAAAUUAACAGGAAAGCGGAGAAUGGCAUCUACUUAUGCUAGAGAAUUAUUCGCAAUUACACAAGCGGUAUCAAAGUGGAGACACUACUUGUUGGGAAGACGAUUUAUCAUUCAAACAGACCAUCGAAGUUUGAAAAACCUAUUAACACAGGUCAUUCAAACUCCAGAACAGCAAGAGUUUUUAUACAAAAUUUUGGGUUUCGAUUUUGAGAUAUGUUAUAAACCUGGAAAGGAUAAUGGGGCUGCAGAUGGAUUGUCUAGAAUGAAUGAGGCCGGAGAUAAAAGAGAAGUAGAAGAGAAUCACCAAACAAUGAUGUCCCUAUUAGCUACAAAAAACACUAUUCUGUCUGCAUUAAAGUCUGAAAUUGUAGCUGAUAAAUGGGAAAUGAAGAUAAAAGAUGAGAUUAAACAAGGUAAAAGAAAAGAAGAGGAUUAUAAAUUUACCGAAGGGUUGGUAUUCUAUAAAUCAAAACUAUGGCUACCAAAGAAUUCAGAACUGAUAUUAAAAGUGAUUAAAGCUCUGCAUGAUUCAACUAUAGGGGGUCAUACAGGACCAGAAAGAUCAACUAAGCGUAUUCAGAACUCAUUUUGGUGGGAAGGUAUGAAUGUUCAAAUCAAAGAUUAUGUAGAUAGUUGUUUAAUUUGCCAACAGAUGAAAAGCAAUAAUGUGAAGCAAUAUGGUCUUCUGAUGCCACUACCAAUUCCGGAGGCGGUUUGGCAAGAUUUAUCAGUUGAUUUUAUUACGGGAUUACCUCUAGUAAAAGGCAAGAGUGUAAUAAUAGUAGUGGUGGACAGGCUGUCCAAGUUUGCACAUCUAGGCGCAUUAAUAUCAAAAUAUACAGCAACCGGAGUUGCAAACUAUUUUAUCAAUCACAUUAUCAAGCUACAUGGUUUUCCUCGAUCGAUUGUGUCCGAUCGGGAUAAAGUGUUUACCGGCAAGUUCUGGGUAGAACUCAACCGAAUAAAUAACUGCACAUUAUCUAUGAGCUCCGCCUACCAUCCUCAGUCGGACGGGCAAACGGAAAUUGUAAACAAAACACUAGAGCACUAUCUUAGAUCUCACAUGAUAAACCAAGACAGUGGUUGGAAAUAUUACCUCUUGCGGAGUUAUGGUAUAACUGUUGCUACCAUUCGUCACUAGCGAUGUCUCCUUUUAAAGUGUUAUAUGGCAGAGAUCCUCCUGAUGUGCCUGAAUAUGUGAAUAAUUCCUCAAAAGUAUUAGCAGUAAAUGAAGAAAUAUUGCGAAGAACUGAAAUUUUUGAAGUGGUAAAAAGAAAUUUGGAAAAAGCACAAAAGAAAAUGAAAUUAGCAGCGGAUAAACGAAGGACAUAGAUCGUAUACCAAGUAGGAGAUCUCAUCAUGGUAAGACUUCAGCCGUAUAAGCAAUCAUCGUUGAGAGCCGGAUUCCACCACAAAUUGGGGCAAAAAUACUACGGACCAUUCUCCAUCAUCAAAAAAAUAAAUGAAGUGGCCAUGAAACUCGAUCUACCCGAGGCUAGCAAGAUCCAUCCGGUAUUCCAUGUGUCAAGGUUGAAGAGGUACAAAGGAGAAAAUAACAAUGUUAAUUGUUGCAGGUUACCAAAUAUAGCAGUAAAUAACGAACCUGUGAUAGUAUCGGAGAAACUUCUGGCGAAAAGAACAAUAUUGAACCAAGGUCGGGAGGAAGCAGAGAUACUCGUCCAGUGGGGAGGCCUGAAUCCAGAGGAUGCAUCUUGGGAGAAGACGGAUGUCAUUUCUUCGAAAUUUCCAUCCAUCAGACUCGAGGUCGAGUCAUUGCCGGAAGGAGGGGGGAUGUGACCGUCGUCACCUUACCGCGAUCUGUUAUGGAGGAGAUGCAGAAAUUGUUACCUGCGGAGGAAGAACAACGAGAAGAAUUAAUACGCACAGAAAUUGAAAAGUUAAUAGACAAGAUAGGAGAAGAAGAAGCUUCUAUAGAUGGAAUGGUCGGAAACAUUCCGACCAGCACACCUACUGAACAAGAAUGCCCUGAACCAAAACCUGACAGCCCUAAAGUUGCAAGGAAGGGAACCAUUCACGCUGACAAGGAAGCCAACGUGAGGAAGGGAGAUAGAAUCCGUAAUCAAUCAACUAGAUUGGCUGGUUAUCUUCUAAAUUAGAGGUCUUGGGCUGGGCCAGAACCUCUAUUGGGCUUAAUU